AUUGAACGCUGGCGGCAGGCCUAACACAUGCAAGUCGAACGAGUGGCGGACGGGUGAGUAAUGUCUGGGAAACUGCCCGAUGGAGGGGGAUAACUACUGGAAACGGUAGCUAAUACCGCAUACCAUCGGAUGUGCCCAGAUGGGAUUAGCGAGUAGGUGGGGUAACGGCUCACCUAGGCGACGAGACCUAGCUGGUCUGAGAGGAUGAACAGCCACACUGGAACUGAGGCACGGUCCAGACUCCUACGGUCGGCAGCAGUGCGGAAUAUGUCACAAUGGGCGCAAGCCUGAUGCAGCCAUGCCGCGUGUAUGAAGAAGGCCUGCGGGUUGUAAAGUACUUUCAGCGAGGAGGCGUUACUCGCAGAAGAAGCACCGGCUAACUCCGUGCCAGCAGCCGCGGUAAUUC
rnacentral:rRNA from 1 species